rnacentral:rRNA from 1 species
AUACGGAGGAUCCGAGCGUUAUCCGGAUUUAUUGGGUUUAAAGGGUGCGUAGGCGGCCUUUUAAGUCAGCGGUGAAAGUCUGUGGCUCAACCAUAGAAUUGCCGUUGAAACUGGGAGGCUUGAGUAUGUUUGAGGCAGGCGGAAUGCGUGGUGUCGCGGUGAAAUGCUUAGAUAUCACGCAGAACACCGAUUGCGAAGGAAGCCUGCCAAGCCAUGACUGACGCUGAUGCACGGAAGCGUGGGGAUCAAACAGGAUUAGAUACCCUGGUAGUCCACGCAGUAAACGAUGAUCACUAGCUGUUUGCGAUACAGUGUAAGCGGCACAGCGAAAGCGUUAAGUGAUCCACCUGGGGAGUACGCCGGCAACGGUGAAACUCAAAUGAAUGGGCGGGG